GUAGGCAGCGGGCAGGGCCCCCGCCGAGGUCCGGGGGCGAGCCGAGCGCGGGCCGUCGGCGGAAGUGAGAGCCGGAAGUGCCUUCGGCGUGCGCGGAGGCUGGCGGCUGGCGGCGCUGCCCGCCUCUGACGGGGGCCCGCGGCCGAGAAGUGAAGGGUGUAUUGCAUGCGAAGCACCGCCUGUGUGGGCAGAUGAGACCUCCUGUGUGUGGGGACCCCAGCACAGCCCUUGCCUGUGUCUGCAGUGUGACCUCAGAGACAGAGCAUGAGCGGGGAAGGAGCAGAGAGAGGGAG